CCGUCUUCUUCCUCUAGCGUCUCCUGUUAUCUCAAGCCUCUCCCUAUGUGAUCUUUUCCCCCUUGACCCCAUGUUCCGGCCAUACUGAGCUGGUGCCCCUCUGUGGCUUGCUAUCUCCCUUCAGCUCAGUAAGUAGAAAGAACACUGGUGCUGAAGUCAGUCGUGCAGGGUUUUAUUAUUACUAUCACUUUGGGUAGUGGGGAUUGGACCCAGGAGUGCUGUGCUCCUCGGCUACAUCCCCAGCCCUUUUUAUUUUUUAUACUGAGACAGGGUCUUGCUAAGUUGAUUAGGACCUCCCUCACUGCUGAAGCUGGCCUCAAAUCUGCUAUCCUCCUGCCUCAGCCUCCCAAGUGGCUGGGAUUAUAGGUGUGUGCUGUUGUGGCCGGCUCCUGCAGGGUUUUAAACCUGGCUCUGCCCCAGGUGUGUUACGUAACCUUGACCCUCGCUUGGCACAUUAUUAAUCUUCCCUAGAUUCAGUUUCCUUCUCUGAAAAAUGGAAGCACCGAUACCCAGUUUACUGGGUUGUUGUGAGUGUAAAAUGAGGUCACAUCUCUCAAAUGUCCAACACGUGAUUGAUGCGGGAUAAAAACUUCCUGCCCAUCCUUGCUCUGCCUAGUUCUGAUCCCUUCAUGCGACAUGCCUCUCUGCCUUCUUCUAUCUACCUGCUGAAUUUCCGCCCACCUUUGAGGCCUAGGUACAUCUCCCCUCUCCCAACCUGCCAGGCCCAGUCCUUCCACGUCCUCUUCUCUCUGAGACAUGAUCCCCUAGUGCUGUGGGUGCUGUGGUCCAACCUGCAUCAGGGUCGUCUGUACCUAGUUGUCUGGUUGCUCAGGCAAUUGAGAGUCUCUGGUGGCAGGGAAACUGAGUCUACCGUGAGAUCCCUGUGGUGCUGAGGACCUGUUGGAGGGUCUUGCGUGUAACAUCUCCUUGUAAAUGUUGGGAAGUUUGAAACAAUUAUCUGUUGCUACCUAUAACUUUAC
rnacentral:lncRNA from 1 species